rnacentral:rRNA from 1 species
UACGGGGGGGCAAGGCGUUGUUCGGAAUUACUGGGCGUAAAGGGCUCGUAGGCGGCCAACUAAGUCAUACGUGAAAUCCCUCGGCUUAACCGGGAACUGCGUCUGAUACUGGAUGGCUUGAGUUCGGGAGAGGGAUGCGGAAUUCCAGGUGUAGCGGUGAAAUGCGUAGAUAUCGGGAGGAACACCUGUGGCGAAAGCGGCUCACUGGACCACAACUGACGCUGAGGCGCGAAAGCUAGGGGAGCAAACAGGG